GAGCAAUGAUGAAAGCUGUGCCGUAGCGAUGGUAGGGUCUAUCGCAAGCAUCUGAUCACCAGAUGAUAUUGGCUCUGCUGAGCUC
rnacentral:snoRNA from 13 species